rnacentral:tRNA from 1 species
GAGGGUAUAGCUCAGUGGUACAGUGCGUGGUUAGCACGCACUAGGUCCUGGGUUCGAGCCCCAGUACCUCCA